AACAGCAGGGUGCAGUUGGAGAUAACUGUAAUAAACACAGAUUUCUCCAUGCUUUGACCCUUUGCUCGCUGGAAGCACAGAAAUCACACUGAUAUACCAAAAGGCAAGUCACAGAUUUCCUGUGAUCUCAAGGAUGCUUCUGCAAUCCAGCCUCAGAGAAAGAUGUUGGGGGUGAAGAUGUGAGAUAGCAGCCAAUCAGAAUUGCACUGUGAGAGUCACAACCAACUAAUUAUAAGAAUUGCAUCCUCAUUCAUGAACUUUUGUAGCCAGCCUAAUUUUAAUAUGCAGCUGAUCUCCUGUCACUCAACAAAGAUGUGAAAGGAAUUCACCAUCUUGACUUUCAAAGUCAUCUAGCUACUUAGGAGGACGGGUUGCUGAUCUUUCAAAACUGCAGAUUUGUGACAAAAGUUUGUAACUUAUGAAAACAUUACAGAAGAUUAUCCAGGAGAAAAAAAGGCAUGGAAGCAAAUGAAAUGUUUAGGACAGAAGAACUGAACAAUACCAUUGCAACUAGAAUAUAGCUGGAGAGGAAACAUAAAAUAUUACCUUGACAUAUAUUUUCAAAGGCCUAAUUUAAUUUAAUACAGAUGAAUUUCCUUAAAACACAUCACCCUGAGGAAACCUCCCAGGGAGGGAGGAGAAGAUGGCGACACGACGCAGCUUGCAGCGGCCAUUCUGGUGAAUGAUAUCUGUUAUCUGUCAAGUAGGGUGCCGUGCACAAUCCUGAUCUGAUGGAGACAAACGUGAGAGCACGGAGGAACAUCUGGUGAAACUUCUGAAAUGCUGUUUCGCUGCUGUUGCUACUGUGUGAUUCAGAAUCUCCGGAGGGGAAGGCCCCGAGACCUCAGCUUUGCUUGUUGCUCGGCGGCCGGGGCAGGGUCGAAGCGCUCGGCAGAGAUGGUGCUCGGUGCUGGAAACUCGAAGUUUUCGGACUCAGAGUCCGCUGUGGUCAGGUGCUUCCAAUGCAUCGGCAAGUUUGCGGCGCUUGGAGGUUCAUGGCAGGGAGAGUUUCUCCCUUCUACCGUCUGCGUGAGAUGAUGGGCUAUUGGGACUUGAGACUUUUUUUUACCAUGCCCAUGGUCUGCUCUUUAUCAAAUUACGGUAUUGCUUUGCACUGUUGUAACUAUAUGUUAUAAUUAUGUGGUUUUGUCAGUUUUAGUCUUGGUUUGUCCUAUGUUUCUGUGAUAUCUUCCUGGAGGAACAUUGUAUCAUUUUCUAAUGCAUGCAUUUCUAAAUGACAAUAAACGAGGACUGAGUGUCCUCAUAAUCUAAAAAAAAACAAAUCUUGAUUUGCACUUAUAUUCUAAUGUGAAUCCUGGGUCUAAUUCCUGCACCCAUGCUGAACUUGUCAAUUUCAUCAUCUUUGCCUUUAACUUCCACCCUGUCCUUAAAUUCACUUGGUCCAUCUCUGACACCUGCCUCCCCCUUCCCAAUCUCUCUGUCUCCAUCUCUAGAGAUGGACUGUUGACCAACAACUUUAAUAAGCCUACCCAUGGCUAUCUUGACUAUAUCUCUUCCCACCCUGUCACCUAUAAAAAUGCUAUUCCCUUUUCUCAGUUCCUUCAGCUCCGCUGCAUCUGUUCCCAGGAAGAGGAAUUCUUUUCCAGGACAUCAGAGAUGUCCUCCUUCUUCAAAGAAUGGGGUUUCUCAUUCUCCACCAUUGAUGCUGCCCUCACCUGCAUCUCCUCCAUUUGCUGGACCUCCAUGUUCACCGCAAUUUCCCGCCGCCUUAACUGUGGUAAAGUUCCUUUGGUCCUUACCUACCUCUCCAUGAGCCUUCACAUCUAACACAUUAUUCUCCUCAACUUCUGCCAUCUCUAAAGGGAUCCCACCAUCAAAAACACCGAACACAUCUUUACAUCCCCCACACUCUCCAAUUUCUGCAGGGAUUGUUUCCUCCGUGAUUCCUUUGUCCAUUCAUCCCUUCCCACUAAUCUCCCUCCCAGGACUUAUCCCUGCAAGCGGCCAAAGUGCAACAUUUGCCCAUUCAUCCCUUCCAUCACCUCCAUUAGGUCCCCAGGCUGUCCUUACAGGCGAGGCAACACUUCACAAUUAAGUCUGCUGGAGUCAUCUGUUGUGUCAGGUGCUCCUGAUGUGGCCUUCUCUAUAUUGGUGAGACCGACUGUAAAUUGGGGGAUUGCUUCAUUGAGCACCUCCGCUCCAUCCAGUGGACCUUCCCAGUGGCCAAAUAUUUUAAUUCCCAUUCCGACAUGUCGGUCCAUGGCCUCCUCUAGUGCCACAAUCAGGGUGGAGGAGCAACACCCUAUAUUCCGUCUGGGUAGCCUCCAACCUGAUGGAAUAAUUAUUGAUAUCGCUUUCCAGUUAAAAAAAAAUUCCACCCCCUCCCCUCUUCGAUUCUCCACUAUGGCUUCUUACCUCUUCUCACCUGCCUAUCACCUCCCCCAGUGCCUCUCCUCCUUCCCUUUCUCCUGUGGUCUACCCUCCUCUUCUAUCAGAUUCCUUCCUCUCCAGACCUUCAUCUUUGCUACCCCCCUGCCUUCACCUAUCACCUUCUAGCUAUCCUCCUCCCCCUCCCUCCACCUCUUUUUAUCCUGGCAUCUUCCUCCUUCAUUUCCAGUUUUAAAGAAAGCUCUCAGCCUGAAAUGUCAGCUGUUUAUUCAUUUCCAUGAAUGCGGCCUGACCUGCUGAGUUCUUCCAGCAUUUUGUGUGUGUUACUGUAGAUUAACUUAGGUUUUAUUUAUCUUUAUUUGUCACAUGUAGAUCAAAAUGUCUUGCACUUGCUGCCAGCUCUUUAAAAAUGGGAGGUUUUCACACUAUACUCAUCCUUACUCACCCCUUCCUAUCACCGUUCUCUGUGCCUCUCCAGACUCCCAACUUUCUGCCAGUGAAAAUGGGUUAUGUCACUCAGUACCAGAACAUGAUAUUAUGCAAUUUUUGUAGGGGUAGUGGUACAUGAUUUUUGAUUGAAAGACAGACAGAUGAAAAGUACCAUCAAAAAUGCACUUUUUAGAAUUACAAACUUUUGCCUUGAAUGUUCCCCCCUAUUAUUGAUGUAGAAGUGAAACCUUGUGUUUAGAAUCUAAUGCUUAUUAUGAAUUAUUUUUGGGUGGCAAACAAAGAUAAAAGCAGGAAUGUUUUGGUUAUCCAGUGGUUAAAACUGAAAAAUUAAAGGACCGUAACUAAAUGAUGAUUUCUGUUUACUUACAUGACUGCAAGUUAGACUUCACUGUACUUUACCUAUUUUCUGAACAAAGUUUAAAUAAAAGAUUUAUAUUUUGUGUUUUUAAACUGUUAUUAGUGUAAUCAUUUUUUUUCAGUGAGUGUACAAUAAUGGAUAGAUUGCCAGUGGCAGUUUCCAGUCCUUGUUUCCAGUAGAAGACACUAAAUGGAGGCUUCAACAAAUUGUACUAAAGCUUGGAGUAAUUUUACAGUUGAUUAUGAUGUUGACUCCCCAAAAAAGGCAGAGGCUGGGUUCACUGCAGAAUUCCUCAGACUGACCUACAAAACCAGUGAAUUCAAUUUUCUUGACUAUUGAAUGAUUGGGUCUGAGAGGUCCCCAGCCAGGGGACAGAAUAGCUGGUUAGUUACAACUUUUCAUCGAGCAAGUACUAUGCCACAAGGAUUAAGAGGUGAUUUACUAUAUUCAAAGAAACUUCAAACAACAUCAUCUCGCAAGGACUAAGGACACUGGCAUCUCCAACUGUGCUAUGGGUCAUGGUGCUGUACUUAGAGAGUUUAUCAUACAAAACCCUCUGUUCUAUGAACACCAUCACAGCAGGAAUGGAGGUUAGAGGGCCGGAUGUGGCCUGUGGGCAGAAUGUUGUUCAUUUUAUUUUGAAGGAGAAUCUGUGGUGCAGCAACUAAAACAUAUUAAUUUGUGUUACUUUAAUUGAGCAUACUAACAGCAAUAAAUUGGCAAUUCUAGUGGCUAUUUCCAAUAAAUUUUUAAUAUACGGUAUUUGUUUUUGCACAUUUUAAUAAUAAUCUAUUCAAUAUACAUAAUUGAUUUACUUGUUUAUUUAUUAUGUUUUAUUUAUUUAUUUCCCCCCCUCUCUCUGCUAGAUUAUGUAUUGCAUUGAACUGCUGCUGCUAAGUUAACAAAUUUCAUGUCACAUGCCGGUGAUAAUAAACCUGAUUCUGAUUCUGAUUAAAGUUCAGUAUUAUGUUGAUAUGCCAGCACAUGUAAAGUAACACUUCAAAGAUACAAACUUUAAAUAAACAUGUAGUAGUUAUGAAAUUACCACACACCACUUUUAAAAAAUGGAAAUUACUUUGAUUAGAUUUCUUUUAGUUUACCAUAUGUUCUAUGGAGAUACUAUGUUUAGUCACAAAUAAUUAGGUAGAGGUAGACUCUAAGGGUAACCAAAAUUGCUGGUAAUGAAAGUCAAGACUGUAUGACUUCACUGAAUCAUAGAAUGGAUGAAGCAGAGAAGGAGGGAGAACACAGAACACGAGAUCAUUCAGACCAUCAGGUUUGGGUGGGCUCUUUACCAUUCCUGGCCUCUUCCCCAUAGCUUUACAAAUUAUUGUCCACCAUACAUCAUGCCAUUUAAGGAACAAUAGAACCUGUCUCAUCCACAUCUGAAGGCAAUGCAUUCAGAUUUCAUCCACACAAUGCGAAAAUAAGUUUUUCAUAAUAUCACUUUUAACUCUAUUUUCCUUUAUUUUAUUUUACCUAGUCCUUGAUCCUUCCAUCAUCACAAGUAACAGCCUGUCACGUUCCACCCUGUCCCAUCAUCUUUUUACAUACUUCUCUCAAAUCCCUCCACACUUCUCCAAAAGAAAAUCAUUCCUUGUAACUACAGUCCCUUAUUAUACGGACUACAUUUAAAAUAUCUUUUCUGGACUCAACCUAAUGGUUCACAGUCUUUCCGUAAUAUGGCAACUAGAAUUGAGGCCAGACUUGCAUUUUAGAAGAGUUGAUUUGAAUUUCCCUGCCUUUAUAAGCUAUGUUUUUUCCUUAAAGUUAGAAUCUAGUAUGUUUUACUAACUACUUUCACAACUUUAUACUUUAUUGUUGCCAAACAAUUGAUACUAGAACGUACAAUCACCACAGCGAUAUUUGAUUCUGCGCUUCCCACUCCCUGGAGUACAAAUUGAU